rnacentral:rRNA from 1 species
UCGGGAAUUUUGGGCAAUGGGGGAAACCCUGACCCAGCAACGCCGCGUGAAGGAUGAAGUAUUUCGGUAUGUAAACUUCGAAAGAAUAGGAAGAAUAAAUGACGGUACUAUUUAUAAGGUCCGGCUAACUACGUGCCAGCAGCCGCGGUAAUACGUAGGGACCAAGCGUUGUUCGGAUUUACUGGGCGUAAAGGGCGCGUAGGCGGCAUGACAAGUCACUUGUGAAAUCUCUGGGCUUAACCCAGAACGGCCAAGUGAUACUGUCGCGCUAGAGUGCAGAAGGGGCAAUCGGAAUUCUUGGUGUAGCGGUGAAAUGCGUAGAUAUCAAGAGGAACACCUGAGGUGAAGACGGGUUGCUGGGCUGACACUGACGCUGAGGCGCGAAAGCCAGGGGAGCAAACAGGAUUAGAUACCCAUGUAGUCCCUGAGCGGGCUGGCAAGGCGCAU